UUAGACGUUGUUGAUUGAGGGUUGGGCCUGCCCGGUGAGUGUUUAACGGCCGCAGUUAGUAGCUGUGCUAAGGUAGCGUAAUAAGUUGUCCUUUAAUUGGGGAAAGGAAUGAAUGGUUUGACGUAAGAAAUUCUGUCUCUAAAAGAAGUGAUGAAGUUUUCUUUUUAGUGCAAAGACUAGAAUGAGAUUAAAAGACGAGAAGACCCUUUCGAGCUUAAUUAUAUAAUAUAUUUAAAUAUUAAAAAAAUUUGGUUGGGGCAACUAAGGAGCAAGAUUAGACUCCUUGAGGAGAAUGUGGAUCCAAAAGUUUUGAAUGGAGAAAAAGCUACCGUAGGGAUAACAGCGUUAUCUUUUCUGAGAGAACAAAUUGAAGAAAAGGUUUGCGACCUCGAUGUUGAAUUAGAGUUUCCAGUGGGCGUAGAAGCUCAGAUGGUAAGACUGUUCGUCUUUUAAAACUUU
rnacentral:rRNA from 1 species